rnacentral:lncRNA from 1 species
GAAGAGAAGAAGGAUAUGAAGCUACAGCCUGAACUAAGACUGGGUCCUUGCAGCUCUCCAACACAUGAUUGCUGCCUGCCAGAACCACAGACCUUUCUCGGGACUGGCACGAAUUUCAGCCAACAGAGCCUGCACAGAAACACAUGGAAAAGGCUUCCGGUGGAGCUUACUGUGAGUCACAGACAGCCAUAGUUGCACUGGAUAGAGAGCUGGCAGAUGCCAUCAGCAUAUGCCCUUAGAAACUUUGGUUGUUUUGUGGCCUGGAGAAGAGCCCAGAAUUAUGGAGCCUAAGAGGCAGCACCUCUGCUUUCUGAAGAGGAAGCCGUAGUGCCGUGGACUUCACCACGUGCACAGUGGCUGCAUCCAGACCUGAAUGCCCCUCUCAUUACUCACCGGAAGUGAGCUUUGAACACUUCACACAGGAAGAUGACUCGCUCCUCCAACAAGAUGCAGAAAGUCUUUCCAAGCAAAUGACUUGAAGUGUUUAAAUAUUCUGUUUCUUAGUCUGCUUUUUUUCUGUUAAAUCCUUCAGCUUGAAUGAGCACCUUUAUCUGCAAAUUGAUCUGGUUGUAGCAUCCCUUGACCAUGUAGGUGGAUUUUUAAUUUGUACUUAAGGCCAGUUACAAUAUGCCAUCUGCAACUCUGCUCCCUUUAUGCUCCUGUAGCACUGCUAUAGAGAGGAAGGGUUUGUCGUAGCAAUGGGAAAUAAAACAAUGAGCAUACAACUUUUACAAUUGGAAAUGAAGAAGCAUAAAAAAAAAUAACGGCUGAUAUUUGUUAUCGGUCAGGCCUGAGUAUGAGAAUUAUGGGUCUCUAACAUGCCUGAAUUAGCAAGAGGAUGAAAUUGCAAGAAGGCAGGCUGGAGAACAACCUCUUGACCCCACUCAGCAUUUUGGAGCAUGGCAGCUUAACAGAUCCAACACAGAAAACAAGGGAAUGGGUUAGUCUGGUGCUCAUUCUCAAAGGUAGAUGUGUCUGAAGUGAGAACUCUUGUUUGCAUUCUCUGGAA